AUUGAACGCUGGCGGCAGGCCUAACACAUGCAAGUCGAACGAGUGGCGGACGGGUGAGUAAUGUCUGGGAAACUGCCCGCUGGAGGGGGAUAACUACUGGAAACGGUAGCUAAUACCGCAUACCAUCGGAUGUGCCCAGAGUGGAUGAGCUAGUAGGAGGGGGACCGGCUCACCUCGGCGACGCGCCCUAGCUGGUCUGAGAGGAUGACCAGCCACACUGGAACUGAGAAACGGUCCAGACUCCUACGGGAGGCAGCAGUGGGGAAUAUUGCACAAUGGGCGAAAGCCUGAGGCAGCCAUGCCGGGUGUAUGAAGAAGGCCUUCGGGUGAUAAAGUACUUUCAGCGAGGAGGCGUUACUCGCAGAAGAAGCACCGGCUAACUCCGUGCCAGCAGCCGCGGUAAUAC
rnacentral:rRNA from 1 species